rnacentral:tRNA from 1 species
GCUCCCAUCGUCUAGUGGCCUAGGACGCCGCCCUCUCAAGGCGGUAACACGGGUUCAAAUCCCGUUGGGAGUA